rnacentral:rRNA from 1 species
AUUGAACGCUGGCGGCAUGCCUUACACAUGCAAGUCGAACGGCAGCACGGGAGCAAUCCUGGUGGCGAGUGGCGAACGGGUGAGUAAUGUAUCGGAACGUGCCCAGUCGUGGGGGAUAACGUAGCGAAAGUUACGCUAAUACCGCAUACGAUCUUUGGAUGAAAGCGGGGGAUCGCAAGACCUCGCGCGAUUGGAGCGGCCGAUAUCAGAUUAGGUAGUUGGUGGGGUAAAGGCUCACCAAGCCGACGGUCUGUAGCUGGUCUGAGAGGACGAGCAGCUGCACUGGGAAUGAGACACGGCCAAGGCUCCUGCGGGAGGCAGAAGUGGGGAAUUUUGGACAAGGGGCGCAAGCCUGAUCCAGCAAUGCCGCGUGAAGGACGAAGGCCUUCAGGUUGUAGACUGCUUUUGUACGGAACGAAACGGCCCUCUCUAAUACAGUGGGUUAAUGACGGUGCCAGAUGAAUAAGCACCGGCUAACUCCGUGCCAGCAGCCGCCGUAAUAC